rnacentral:rRNA from 1 species
CCUACGGGUGGCUGCAGUGGGGAAUAUUGGACAAUGGGGGGAACCCUGAUCCAGCCAUGCCGCGUGUGUGAAGAAGGCCCUCGGGUUGUAAAGCACUUUCAGUGAGGAAGAACGCCUGGUGGUUAAUACCCAUCAGGAAAGACAUCACUCACAGAAGAAGCACCGGCUAACUCCGUGCCAGCAGCCGCGGUAAUACGGAGGGUGCGAGCGUUAAUCGGAAUUACUGGGCGUAAAGCGCGCGUAGGUGGCUUGAUAAGCCGGUUGUGAAAGCCCCGGGCUCAACCUGGGAACGGCAUCCGGAACUGUCAAGCUAGAGUGCAGGAGAGGAAGGUAGAAUUCCCGGUGUAGCGGUGAAAUGCGUAGAGGUCGGGAGGAAUACCAGUGGCGAAGGCGGCCUUCUGGACUGACACUGACACUGAGGUGCGAAAGCGUGGGUAGCAAACAGGAUUAGAUACCCCAGUAGUC